rnacentral:lncRNA from 1 species
AACAGUUAGCCUCUGGCCACUCCCUAGGGACACCAAGAAGUGUUUUGGAGGGUUACUGCUACUUUAUUGGCUUUUGUGGGUAAAAUGAACUAUUUCUUCCUGUUUUCUAGAACCCCCCACAAACACAUAAGCAUGACAUCUGCACCCCACACACACAUGACAUCUGCACCUCCACACACAUGUCAUCUGCACCCCCCACAUACAUGACAUCUGCACCCCCCACAUGCAUGACAUCUGCACCUCACACACAUGACAUCUGCACCUCCACACACAUGUCAUCUGCACCCCCACAUACAUGACAUCUGCACCCCCCACAUGCAUGACAUCUGCACCUCCACACACAUGACAUCUGCACCUCCACACACACAUGACAUCUGCACCUCCACACACAUGACAUCUGCACCUCCACACACACAUGACAUCUGCACCUCCAUACACACACAUGGCAUCUGCAUCUCCACACACAUGACAUCUGCACCCCCCACAUCACAUCUGCAUCUACACACACACACACACACACACACACACACACACACACACGGCAUCUGCACCACAUACACACAUGGCAUCUGCACCACACACACACACACAUGACAUCUGCACCUCCACACACACAUGACAGCUGCACCCCACACACAUCUGUACACACACACAUGACAUCUGCAUACACACAUGACAUCUGCACACACACAUGACACUGGCACCCCCCCACACACACAUGACAUCUGCACACACACAUGACACUUGCACCACACACACA